rnacentral:rRNA from 1 species
CACCUCUAGCAUUACAAGUAUUAGAGGCAUUGCCUGCCCAGUGACUAUAGUUAAACGGCCGCGGUAUCCUGACCGUGCAAAGGUAGCAUAAUCAUUUGUUCCUUAAUUAGGGACUAGUAUGAAUGGCUAGACGAGGGAUCAACUGUCUCUUAUUUUCAAUCAGUGAAAUUGACCUUCCAGUGAAGAGGCUGGAAUACAAUAAUAAGACGAGAAGACCCUAUGGAGCUUAAAUUAACAAGCUUAAUUAUUACCUAAAUACCCUAAUGGAACAAAACAAAAAAUAUAAGCUUAAAAUUUUGGUUGGGGUGACCUCGGAGAACAAAAAAUCCUCCGAAAGAUAUAUAACAUAGACCUACAAGUCAAAGUAACUCAGUUAUCUUAUUGACCCAAAAAUUGAUCAACGGACCAAGUUACCCUAGGGAUAACAGCGCAAUCCUAUUUAAGAGUCCAUAUCGACAAUAGGGUUUACGACCUCGAUGUUGGAUCAGGACAUCCCAAUGGUGCAGAAGCUAUUAAUGGUUCGUUUGUUCAACGAUUAAAGUCCUACGUGAUCUA